UGCUCGACAUGGACACCGGUAUGAUUGAAGGUGGAUUAAAUGUCACUCUCACCAUCCGGCUACUUAUGCAUGGAAAGGAAGUUGGCAGUAUCAUCGGAAAGAAAGGAGAAUCAGUUAAAAAGAUGCGCGAGGAGAGUGGUGCACGUAUCAACAUCUCAGAAGGGAAUUGUCCUGAGAGAAUUAUCACUUUGGCUGGACCCACUAAUGCCAUCUUCAAAGCCUUUGCUAUGAUCAUUGACAAACUGGAAGAGGACAUAAGCAGCUCUAUGACCAAUAGCACAGCUGCCAGUAGAACCCCGGUCACCCUGAGGCUGGUGGUCCCUGCAAGUCAGUGUGGCUCUCUCAUCGGAAAAGGUGGUUGCAAGAUCAAGGAAAUACGAGAGAGUACAGGGGCUCAGGUCCAGGUGGCAGGGGAUAUGCUACCCAACUCAACUGAGUGGGCCAUCACUAGUGCUGGCAUUCCGCAAUCCAUCAUUGAGUGUGUCAAACAGAUCUGCGUGGUCAUGUUGGAGACUCUCCCGGUCCCCCCCGAAAGGCGUGACCAUCCCGUACCGGGCCAUGCUGUCCAGCUCUCCGGUCAUCUUUGCAGGUGGUCAGGACAGGUACAGCACAGGCAGCAACAGUGCGAGCUUUCCCCACACCACACCGUCCAUGUGCCUCAACCCUGACCUGGAGGGACCACCUCUAGAGUUGACCAAGCUGCACCAGUUGGCAAUGCAACAGUCUCAUUUUCCCAUGACGCAUGGCAACACCGGAUUCAGUGGCAUUGAAUCCAGCUCUCCAGAGGUGAAAGGCUAUUGGGCAGGUUUGGAUGCAUCUGCUCAGACUACUUCUCAUGAACUCACCAUUCCAAAUGAUUUGAUUGGCUGCAUAAUCGGGCGUCAAGGCGCCAAAAUCAAUGAGAUCCGUCAGACUUCUGGGGCGCAGAUCAAAAUUGCGAACCCAGUGGAAGGAUCUACUGAUAGGAAGGUUACCAUCACUGGAUCUGCUGCCAGCAUUAGCCUGGCUCAAUAUCUAAUCAAUGUCAGGCUUUCCUCGGAGACGGGUGGCAUGGGGAGCAGCUAGAACAAUGCAGAUUCAUCCAUAAUCGCUUUCUGCUGUUCACCUCCACCCAUGAUCCAUCUGUGUAGUUUCUGAACAGUCAGCGAUUCCAGGUUUUAAAUAGUUUGUAAAUUUUCAGUUUCUACACACUUUAUCAUCCACUCGUGAUUUUUUAAUUAAAGCGUUUUAAUUCCUUUCUCUGUU